rnacentral:pre_miRNA from 1 species
UAAGUACUCUCUCCGUCCAACAAAAAAUGUUUCAAAUUUAUCAAAAUUUGAAUGUAUCUAGGCAUGACAGUGUAUAGAUGCAUGCAAAUUUUAGUUAAAAUUAAGACAUCCAUUGUUGGACGGAAGAAGUAGCAA